UACAUGGGGUGCAAACGUUGCUCGGAAUUAUUUGGGCGUAAAGCGCACGUAGGCGGUUUAUCUAAGUCGGAUGUGAAAGCCCUCGGCUUAACUGAGGAAGUGCACCCGAAACUGGAUAGCUAGAGUACGAAAGAGGGUCGCGGAAUUCCCGGUGUAGAGGUGAAAUUCGUAGAUAUCGGGAGGAACACCGGUGGCGAAGGCGGCGACCUGGGUCGAGACUGACGCUGAGGCGCGAAAGCGUGGGGAGCAAACAGG
rnacentral:rRNA from 1 species